rnacentral:rRNA from 1 species
UUGAUCGUGGCUCAGGACGAACGCUGGCGGCGUGCCUAAUACAUGCAAGUCGAGCGGACAGAUGGGAGCUUGCUCCCUGAUGUUAGCGGCGGACGGGUGAGUAACACGUGGGUAACCUGCCUGUAAGACUGGGAUAACUCCGGGAAACCGGGGCUAAUACCGGAUGCUUGUUUGAACCGCAUGGUUCAAACAUAAAAGGUGGCUUCGGCUACCACUUACAGAUGGACCCGCGGCGCAUUAGCUAGUUGGUGAGGUAAUGGCUCACCAAGGCAACGAUGCGUAGCCGACCUGAGAGGGUGAUCGGCCACACUGGGACUGAGACACGGCCCAGACUCCUACGGGAGGCAGCAGUAGGGAAUCUUCCGCAAUGGACGAAAGUCUGACGGAGCAACGCCGCGUGAGUGAUGAAGGUUUUCGGAUCGUAAAGCUCUGUUGUUAGGGAAGAACAAGUACCGUUCGAAUAGGGCGGUACCUUGACGGUACCUAACCAGAAAGCCACGGCUAACUACGUGCCAGCAGCCGCGGUAAUACGUAGGUGGCAAGCGUUGUCCGGAAUUAUUGGGCGUAAAGGGCUCGCAGGCGGUUUCUUAAGUCUGAUGUGAAAGCCCCCGGCUCAACCGGGGAGGGUCAUUGGAAACUGGGGNAACUUGAGUGCAGAAGAGGAGAGUGGAAUUCCACGUGUAGCGGUGAAAAUGCGUA